ACAACUGCAGGGUUUCUUGCAGCUGCUGCAAUUAUCAUAGCCUCGGCCGGAGCCGUUGAGUCUCCUGAGCAAUCUGAGAAUCUAGAAAAUAUUCCCCAGACACUAUCUGGGGGUGUGCUUUGCGCAAGGAUUGCAAGAAACCAAGGAUUCAAAGACCAAAGUCGAGAAAGGCAGAGUCUUGCACGAUCAAGUGUGUCACCACCUGCAUUAGAGGUGGUGAUGGCUCGCCUGGUGAAGGUCCCUUCAAUGUCAGGAGGCCUAUAGUUGUUCUCCAGCAAGGAUUUAGAAGCCGGCAAUAUGGUACAUAUUUUUGGUGGAGUGUUCAGAUAUUUGCAAUUUGAUUAAAGAUGGUGAUGACGGGUCUUAAUUAAAUUAAAUUUUUGUAAA